rnacentral:rRNA from 2 species
UGCAGUCGAGCGGAUGAGUGGAGCUUGCUCCAUGAUUCAGCGGCGGACGGGUGAGUAAUGCCUAGGAAUCUGCCUGGUAGUGGGGGACAACGUUUCGAAAGGAACGCUAAUACCGCAUACGUCCUACGGGAGAAAGUGGGGGAUCUUCGGACCUCGCGCUAUCAGAUGAGCCUAGGUCGGAUUAGCUAGUUGGUGAGGUAAAGGCUCACCAAGGCGACGAUCCGUAACUGGUCUGAGAGGAUGAUCAGUCACACUGGAACUGAGACACGGUCCAGACUCCUACGGGAGGCAGCAGUGGGGAAUAUUGGACAAUGGGCGAAAGCCUGAUCCAGCCAUGCCGCGUGUGUGAAGAAGGUCUUCGGAUUGUAAAGCACUUUAAGUUGGGAGGAAGGGCAGUAAGUUAAUACCUUGCUGUUUUGACGUUACCGACAGAAUAAGCACCGGCUAACUUCGUGCCAGCAGCCGCGGUAAUACGAAGGGUGCGAGCGUUAAUCGGAAUUACUGGGCGUAAAGCGCGCGUAGGUGGUUCGUUAAGUUGGAUGUGAAAGCUCCGGGCUCAACCUGGGAACUGCAUCCAAAACUGGCGAGCUAGAGUAUG